UUUCCUCUACACAAAUUUCCCUCAAACUCACCACAACACCUUACCUUGUUAUCAUCGACAAGGAGUGAGCUGCGGAAGCAAACCAUGAGGACGAGAGGAAACCAGAGAAAGUGUUGAGUGAGCUGCGGCCUUGAGCUGUCCGAGAGAGGGAGAGAGCAAGAGGUCACCGUGCGAGCUUCUUUCCUUCCUCCACCACUGCCGAGCUGCCAUCUCCUUCAUCAUCCUCCACCAGCUGAGGUCAAUCACACCCACCAACUUCACAGCCUACACAAACCAAGCUCAGCCCAGCCAUACCUUAAUUCCAUAGCCAGCCGAGAGUGAGAGUGAGGGAGAGCCGAGCUUCUUGUUUCUUUUCUUUCUGUCCGUAAGCUAGAGAGGGAAGAGAGGGACUUGCGAUUCAUUCUGUCUUCUAUCCGUGAGCUGGUGAAGAGCUUGAGACCAGAUUCCUUCAUCCAGCCGCAAGCCAGAGCAAGGGAGAGAGGGAGAGGCAGAGCUAGCGGUCUGCAUUUUUUUUCUUUCCUGGACUGCCGAAGGGAGGAAAAUAAUUUCUGCUGCUAACCGUGUGUGUACUCCAUUUGAGGGUAUAGCGAGGACGUGGAAUUUUGAAUCCCAGCUUGAACUCUGAACUUCACUUUUGGGUUCUGGAAACUGAAAGCUGGAUGCUUACUUAUGUUUUCCUUAUGGAUUGUAUUUGACUACUAUAACUUAUUCUGUGGGCUGUAAUGUGUUAUUUGGGAUAAUGUACUUUUCUUUUUGGGUUGCCACUUGAAGCUGGAAAAUGUGUAAAUCCUAAUUCGAUUACUUGGCUUGUAAGCUUGUAUUAGGGAUUUAUGUAUUUAUCUAUCUGGUUGGGUACGACUUAUACUUCGGUACGUAGCUCGUAGGUCGUUUAAGGGCCUCGACUGGUUAUUUUUAUCAUUGCUAUCUCUGAAGAAUGGGGCUUUAGGUAUGAUUCUAUUUGGGAAAAGUUGAUUUGUAAUAGAUUAGUUUAUUCUUCGAAAGGUUUCGGGUUA